rnacentral:rRNA from 1 species
UUGCGGUCCGUGGAGACACAUCCAGGACCACUCCUGUCUGAGGGCCGGCUGCAUAAUAACAAAUACCACACUGCGGUCUAACCAGCCGCAUUUGACGGUUCCGAGGGGGCGGCGGGCGCGCGCCUGUCCCCCGUCGGUCCGUUUAAAAAUCGUAUUUCAAUCGAAGAGCGAGCGGGCGACACGCUCCGCGGCGUGCCGCGCGUCCCACAGCUUUGAACAAGAGAUGUGGGGUGGCGCGAGCGCGACCGCGGCGGCGGGUGCGCCACUCAAAACGCGACCUCUUCGCAUAUCGAAGUAGGCGGACUCGACGUCCGAAGGGCGAGACGGCGCCGCGUGAUCGCGGGCGACGACAGUCGCCCCGGUCGCGGGGCGUCGUAGCGCCGACGGAUGUCGUGUCUGCCUCCAUUUAUAACGUUGGCCUCAGAUCAGGGAGGAUUACCCGCCGAAUUUAAGCAUAUUAGUAAGCGGAGGA